rnacentral:rRNA from 1 species
CCUACGGGAGGCAGCAGUAGGGAAUAUUGGUCAAUGGACGAAAGUCUGAACCAGCCAUGCCGCGUGAAGGAUGAAGGUCCUCUGGAUUGUAAACUUCUUUUAUCUGGGACGAAAAAAGGGCUUUCUAGCUCACUUGACGGUACCAGAGGAAUAAGCACCGGCUAACUCCGUGCCAGCAGCCGCGGUAAUACGGAGGGUGCAAGCGUUAUCCGGAUUUACUGGGUUUAAAGGGAGCGUAGGUGGGCAGGUAAGUCAGUGGUGAAAUCUCUGGGCUUAACCCGGAAACUGCCAUUGAUACUAUCUGUCUUGAAUAUCCUGGAGGUAAGCGGAAUAUGUCAUGUAGCGGUGAAAUGCUUAGAUAUGACAUAGAACACCCAUUGCGAAGGCAGCUUACUACGGGAUUAUUGACACUGAGGCUCGAAAGCGUGGGGAUCAAACAGGAUUAGAUACCCUGGUAGUCCACGCCCUAAACCGAUGGAUACUCGACAUCAGCGAUACACUGUUGGUGUCUGAGCGAAAGCAUUAAGUAUCCCACCUGGGAAGUAACGACCGCAAGGUUGAAACUUAAAUUGAAUUGACGG